GACGAACGCUGGCGGCGUGCCUAAUACAUGCAAGUCGGACGCACAGUCUAUACCGUCGCUUGCUUCACCAUAGCCUGUGAGUUGCGAACGGGUGAGUCACGCGUAUGUAACCUUCCUAUUAGAGGGGGGUAACUAUUGUAACCGAUAGCUAAUACCGCAUCUCAGUAUGUAACCCAUGGUAGUUGCUUGAACGCUGCAAUUGAUUCGCUGAUAUCUGGUCCUGCACUGGAUUAGCUAGUAGGUAGGGUAAUGGACCACCUAGGGGACGAUACAUAGCCGACCGGAGAGGGUGGUCGGCCACACUGGGACUGAGACAAGGCCCAGAAUCCUACGGGAGGCAGCAGGAGGGAAACUUCGGAAAUGGGGGGAAACCUGACCGAACAACGCCGCGGGAGUGAAGAAGGGUUUCGGAUCGUAAAGCUCUGUUGUUAAGGAAGAACGAGUGUGAGAAUGGAAAGUUCAUACUGUGACGGUACUUAACCAGAAAGGGACGGCUAACUACGUG
rnacentral:rRNA from 1 species